GCAAGGGCCAGGCCGGGGCGUUGGGCGUGCCUUGUAACCACAAACCGUCCUUAUGGUGGGGCUGCGAGCCGGUGAGCGGGCGUUGCGGCUGUGUCUGGUCCGGACGCUUGACGUCGAAGCGUUGUCCCUGCGGGUCGCUGAUGCAGUGAACCGUGUCAGGCCUUGACCGGAGCAGCACUAAGCUGUACCAAAUCACAUCCCAUGUGGGAUGUGAGGGUAACGAUGUCGCAGGGGUCGCAACGUGGAGGAGAGUGUUCCGGGCAGCCAGAUGCUGUCGUGCGUUCCAUCACCGGACGGUCCUUGC
rnacentral:SRP_RNA from 1 species